CUAAACCCCCAGGGGUGGGCUCCAUUUCCCCCCUCCCUCGGAUGUUAGGGGAAUUGAAGGCAAGGCAAAAAUAUUUCUGAGGUCUAAAUUACACCGACCCUGGAAGACUGAACUUGCGGUAUAAUCCAGGUUAUGAAUUGUAAAUCAGACGCCAUGCAAAAUACUCACAAAAAAAUUCAAUAAGCUGCUUUUGCUCCUAGCACAGAAAGGCAGGGCCUGGGGAGAUAGAGGGAGGCGGGCUAUGGUUGGAGGAAAGGGAGACAGAGUGUGGAAGGAGAGCAGAGGGCAGCCAGGCUGUCUUUGCCAACCUUCUCAGGGCCAGAAGCCAUUCACUUACUUAUCCAGGGGAGAAGCCAAGGGGUCUCCAUGGCCUUUGUGUGAUAUGCCCUUUAAGAUGUAACCCAGGCUUGCAAAUAAAUAUGACGUAGCUAUCAGCCUACCUAGAGAGGCUGUGCCAGUUCUCUGAGACAGGGGUCUAGCCUUCUUUGAAUCAAAUCUUUUUUUUUUUUUUUUUUGGUAUGGGUCCCACCUCUACAGUACCACGAAAGUAUACCAUGUGAUUUUUUAAAAUUAGAUUUAUUCACUUUAUUUUGUGUGUGGGUGUUUUUCCUGCCUGCAUGCAUGCAUGGACAACCAUGUGUGCUUAGUUCCUGCAGAGGUCAGAAGAGGCUAUUAGAUCUUCUGAAACUACCAUGUGGCCAACCACAUGGCUCCAGGUCCUCUGCAAGAGCAGCACCUUCUCCUAACUAUUGAGCCAUGUCUCCAGCACUGUGGUAGUACCUUUUAGUCCUUCAGAACCCAUGCAUAAAAGCCAGGCAUAUGUCGAUGUGCCUGGAAUCCCAACAGCGGAAGAGGUUGAGACAGGAGGAUCCUUGGGGCUCACUUGCUGGUCCAUCUAUGUGAACUGGUAAGCUUGAGGGUCAGUGAGAGGCUCUGUCUUAAAAAACAAGACAGCACUAGAGAACAACACCCACCGAUGUGGUCUGCCUCUGCAUAUUAACAUACACACACACACACACCACACACACACAUCACACACACACACACUCACCACACACACACCAUACACCAUACACACACACAUACACACACAUACGCACACACCACACAAACACACACUCACACACACAUGUACACACACACUCACACAUACCACACACACACUCACACACACACAUACACCACACACACACUCACCACACACAUACACACACCACAUACACACACAUCACACACACAUAACACACACACCACACAAACACACACUCGCACACACAUACACACACUCACAUACACUCAGACACACUCACACACACACCACACACCACACACACACUCACACACACUCAUACACAUACACACACAUACACAUUCACACACACACUCACACACAUAUGCACACACACCACACACACAACCACAUACACACUCACACACACUCAUACAAACACUCACACACAUGCACACGCACACACACCACACUACACACACACCAUACACACACACACACAGGCACAUGCAUGCACACAUACGUGCGUAUGCAGAAGGUAAAUUCACAAGAUCUAUUUCUCUCAGGUAUUGUCAGCAACCCUUUGAUCUUGGGGUCAGUGAAGAGAGUCCUUGGAAACCUCUGCCCUCAGUCAAAGACUGAUGGGAGGUGAGAGGUCACUGGGGACCAACUUUCCUUCUUGUACUUGGCCACUGAAUGUCCAUCACAUCUCUAUAAAGGCCUCUGAUUUAUUCCCAAUCCACCGAGGGCCACCUGCUGGGCAGCACACUCUCUGUUGGGACACAGGGCUACGAUGAGACCUUUCCCUGAGUAGGUCUGGUGACGACAUGCUGGCUCCUCCACCCCUGCCUUCCAGGUGCUCAGAAAGUCCGUGCCCUGGUCCACAUUGUACCACCCUCUAGGGGAGUGUCCAAGGGCAGCCUUUUGUGGUGGCAGCCAUGUAGCAGGCAUGAAGAAGGGCAAGGGAGACUGGAAGUUGCUGCAGCCUGGGGCUGUGGAAGCUCAAAUGUUCCUAGCCUAUUAAUAGUCACGAUGAGGAGGAUAGGAAGCCUCCUCUGGAGGGGCUCAGAGUCCUUCGAUUAAAAGGCAGAGUCUCAGGGGUUGGGGAUUUAGCUCACUGACAGAGCACUUGCCUAGCAGGUGCAAGGCCCUGGGCUCGUCCCCAGCUCUGAUGGAAAAAAAAAAAAGGCAAAAUAACAAAAUGUGCCGAUUUUCACACGCCUCUAAUGAAGACACCAUGAGGCAGCGGGGGAUCCAGCUGUGCCCGGCAGGACCAGCUUCAUCAGAGUGCAUGGUUGGGAAGAGCUUGGCGUUCCCUCUCUCUGUCUCAGUCUCUGGGCAUCUCCCCUCCCCCGCUUUCUCCUUCCUUGAAUUCUUCCUUCACCAUUUUUCCACCCUUGAAAUACCUGGAUAAGUGAAAACCAAGGAGAUGACCUUGAGCCCUUUUUAGAACCCCCAGGGCACAGGCAGCUGGACUCUCUACUAGCUGGGGUCCCUUAACAAGCGUAAUAGGCGGACUUUGAGCUGGGGACACCUUUGGUCACCAUAUCAGGGGGUCAUACCCUACUGUAACAGCCCUCUUAUGAAAAUGGGCUGGCUGAGUGACUUGCUUCUAACUCACAGGGCAUACAAGGUGACUCUGUGUCACUUCUAUAACCAGGCUGUGUCAGAUUACAACUCCUACCUCAUAGGUAGCUUCUAGAGUCUUCCCAGCUUGCUAAAUAUGGAUUUGAAUUUUGUUAAUUUCUAAUUUUAUUUUUUCUUGUGUGUGUGUGUGUGUGUGUGUGUGUGUGUGUGCACGCGCACGCAUGUGAAUGUAGGGAUGUCUAGUCAUAUGCACAUGUGUGUAGAAGCCCAGUGAUGAUGAGUCUGGAAUCUUCAGCGUUCUCUCGCCACUCCAUUUGCUGAGAUAGGCUCUUCCACUUGAACCCAGAGCUCACUGUUUAAUGACUUUAGCUCAUCAGCCUGCCUCGGGACCCCUUUGUCUCUGUCUUUAGGCAUUGGAGUUGCAGGUGGGCUGUUGGGCUCACCUGGGAUUUACAUGGCUUCUGGGAUGUAAACUUCAGUCUUCAUGAAGCACGGCUGAUCACGUGCCUUCCAGGACUGAAUCCUGCCAACAACCAUCUUCAGCUGGGUGUGGACGUCCUCUGCUGAGCCUUCCGAAAAGACUCUGUCUCCUGAUCUGCAUGCAGCCUGUGAGACACCCCGAGAUGGGACCCGGUAGAGCCAUGCCCAGACUUCAGAGACCGUCUGAGAAGAAUGGUGCUUUCCGCUGCCAGGUUUGGGGGGGGCAUGAUUUGUUCCCCAGUGUUGGGCAAUGAACACAGCAGAUUAUGGAAAGUUCUGGUUUCCCGCCGCACAUCUGCAGCGAGGUUCCAAUCAAGGCUGCAGAGAGGAUUGACCAAGCAGGUGCCUGCAGGUGUGUCAGGUACCCUGGAAGCUGAGGAGAGCUGCCUCGUUACUAAUUUACAUCAUACUGGUGAUAAUGGCUGGUCUGGGGCUCGGUGUUUAGGAUCCUGUCUAGGCUUGCCUUUAAUGUGCACACAUUCAUUCAGCUCACUCACUCUGCGUCCAGCACCGCCCCGGCUGCGUUCAGAAUACCAACAAGGUCACACUUAGUGCCUCGGUAACGACGUCCCUUACCUUGGAGGGACCUUUAUGCUGCACAAAACCCAAUUUGGUGGCAAUCACUCAACUGGCAGAGCAGAGGCAGGCCCUUCCAUUUUCUCCUUUAUCUGGGGUGUGUCUCUGGGGAGAAUAGAACCCGUUUUUCAA